AUUGAACGCUGGCGGCAGGCCUAACACAUGCAAGUCGAACGAGUGGCGGACGGGUGAGUAAUGUCUGGGAAACUGCCUGAUGGAGGGGGAUAACCACUGGAAACGGUAGCUAAUACCGCAUACCAUCGGAUGUGCCCAGAUGGGAUUAGCUUGUAGGAGGGGUAAGGUCGCCCCUAGGCCAAGAUCCCUAGCUGGUCUGAGAGGAUUCCCAGCCACAGUGGAACUGAGACACGGUCCAGACUCCUCCGGGAGGAAGCAGUGGGGAAUAUUGCACAAUGGGCGCAAGCCUGAGUCAGCCAUGCCGCGUGUAUGAAGAAGGCCUUCGGGUUGUAAAGUACUUUCAGCGGGGAGGCGUUACCCGCAGAAGAAGCACCGGCUAACUCCGUGCCAGCAGCCGCGGUAAUUC
rnacentral:rRNA from 1 species